rnacentral:rRNA from 1 species
UACAGAGGUCUCAAGCGUUGUUCGGAUUCAUUGGGCGUAAAGGGUGCGUAGGUGGCGCCGUAAGUCAGGUGUGGAAUUUCGGAGCUUAACUCCGAAACUGCAUUUGAUACUGCGGUGCUUGAGGACUGGAGAGGAGACUGGAAUUUACGGUGUAGCAGUGAAAUGCGUAGAGAUCGUAAGGAAGACCAGUGGCGAAGGCGGGUCUCUGGACAGUUCCUGACACUGAGGCACGAAGGCCAGGGGAGCAAACGGG